AUGACCUGGACACAUUUCCUUCUCCCCCUCUUGCUCUACACAGGCUCUGUGGUCUCCUAUGAGCUGACUCAACCACCCUCAGUCUCAGUAGCCCUGGGACAGACAGCCACAAUCACCUGCUCAGGAGAUGCACUGCCAAAAAAAUAUGCACACUGGUUCCAGCAGCAGCACCCAGGAGAGAGUCCUGUGCGGGUAAUAUACAAAAAUAAUGAGAGACCCUCAGGGAUCCCGGACAGAUUCUCUGGAUCCAAAUCAGGGACAACAGCCACCCUGACCAUCAGCAGAACUCAGACUGAGGAUGAGGCUGUCUAUUACUGCUUGUCAUGGAACAGUGAUGGUACUCAUUGGAUAUUUGGUAUCACUGUAAAGCUCACAUAUGAAGCAAUGCAGAAAUGUUCAGAGUCUGGCAACACAGCCUCUCUGACCAUCUCUGGGCUGCAGCUGGAGGAUGAGGCUGAUUACUACUGCUGUUCAUAUGCAGGCAAUUACAAUUACCACAGUGGGCCAAGUUGA